AGAUUUUAUAAAGCCGGACGCACGCGUGGACUGCGCGACGACAUAUGUCGUCAUUCGUCCCCUUGACUUUAUUUGUGUGAUUCCAUAUGUCGCCUUUAGGCUUUAAAGGGUUAAACUUCAUCAGCCAGAUUUCUUUCUGAACAUUAUCAGUAAGUUGUGCUCUAUGAAUGGCAUCUGAACUACUGGAAUUCCUUCUCCUGGCUGCUGGAAGAAGUUGCUUUAGCUUAACCACUGCUAUGCAGGGAAGUAGUGAGCACUGUCAGGUAGCAGGAGACUGGAGUUUUGAAUACAGCUCAAAACUUUGAGAAAGGUUUCGUGUUUUGUUGUACUUGUAGAGAACUAGUGAUGUUUAUGUAUCUAUUACAGUUGACUGAAUAUGAUUUCCAUUAUCAGGUUUACACCUGUUGGGAUGGGAAAAGGAGGUUUCUUUUUGUUUUCUACAGGCUUUGGACUAGCAAAUCUACAGAUAAAACAGCUCUUGGUCUGCAAAAUGGAAGGAGAAAUAUUGGCACCAUGUACAGUGUAUUGGAGAUCUGCAGUGUCAUUUUCAAUAUGCUGCAGAAGUGACUGAUGCCCUUUGAAGAGCACUGAGCAAGCAGCCAAGUCCCAGUAUCACUUCAUCAGUGGUGCUGUGUUUGUUCUAUUUCAAGUGUAAGUCUGCAUUCUGAAGGCAGUAGAGGACUGGAUUGGUAGAAAUGUACAUAUUGAACAUUUCUCCUGUAAAUUGGUGAGGAAAGGCCUGACAGCAAGCUUACGCUUGUACUAGAGGUAAAUUGAAGUGUGUUCCUGGGAUGUGGCUUUUUGCACACGUAAGUCCUCGUACCUUUUUUAAAUAGAAGUUUCAGAAGUGGUGUUAUUGUGAUUUGUGAGAUUCCUAAUCAUAAUUGCUGGUGUUGAAAAGGCAGGGGGGCUCUCUGAGUUUUUCUGUUGCUCAGCAUGUCUUCUAGUUAGGCCACAGGUGGCCAGUGUUGAGUCAGUUGGUACUGCAUGGGACCUGACGACGCAGUCUGGAGAAGAGUAAGUACUCCUAUUUGAAAGCUGUCGUGUUUUUAAUAAAGGGCCUUAGUCAUGUAUAUGGAAAAUAAUGGCUUGUUUAUAAUCAUGAUGAGGUCUGCAUGUGCUCUGGGAGCCGUAACACUCUGGAAAGUAUACAUUGACAUGGCUGGUGCAUGAAGCUGACUACUGCCCUUACACUUGGUGUGGUGCUUAAGCAAGCACAAGGACAACUUUCCUGCAUUCUGGAGUCGAUGAUGUCAUAUGCAGGUGAUGUAAGUGGACAUACUUUUACAGUGGAACAGUUUUCACAUAGCUGAGACACCUGAAGAUGGCCGUUUGCAUUGCUGACAGAAUUGUAUUGUGUACGAGAGGUAUAUUAAUUCAACAGGAUGCUUAAAUACAGUAUUGAAGAUUGGUAAGUUUGAAGAUUCUUGAACAAAACAGGGUGUUCUCAGAGAAUUGGUUUUUAAUUUGUAACUUGUAAUCAGUCUGUCUCUUUAAGUAUUCUAUGUUUUAUGCUAUUUUAGAAUGUGGCUUACAAACUAUGAAGAUGUUUUCCUCUCAUAAAGAAUAUGAAAAAAUGCAGUGUUGAAAUAUAAAAUUUUCACCCUUUACCUGUUUUGCAUGAAAUACUAGUGUGUGGUAGCGUGAAUGUAUUUUAAGUCGGAUCCUGCUUUAUAGAAGGGAUAGUGCCCUUGUAGUAACUUCACUACUUCAGGUGAAUUUAGACUCUCCCACCCCCUCUAUAUUCAGUAUAUUUUCAUAUGUUCUAGGCAAAAAGAAAGUGCUUCAUGAAGUGGGACUGUUCAGUUUUCUUUGAUUUUGCUAAGAAUGGGAAGCCAAUUUGGUACUUGAAUAGUAAUGGACAGUUGCCCAUGAAGUUACCGAUCCCUUACAAUAAAUCUUAUUUGAGAAAAACUGUUUUUCAUUAUAUAAGGAUGUAAUGGUCCCUCAUUCUUAUGGCAGAUUGUUCAUUGUAGGAAAUGUAUGAUUUUUACUUUAUCAUAAUAAAUUUGAAGUCACUCUGUA